ACUAUUGUCACGGGUUACCGCGGCUGCUGGCACGGAGUUAGCCGGUGCUUCUUCUGUGAGUGAUGUCCUUCCUGCCGGCUAUUAACCCGCAGGCCUUCUUCCUCACUGAAAGUGCUUUACAACCCGAAGGCCUUCUUCACACACGCGGCAUGGCUGGAUCAGGGUUGCCCCCAUUGUCCAAUAUUCCCCACUGCUGCCUCCCGUAGGAGUCUGGGCCGUGUCUCAGUCCCAGUGUGGCUGAUCAUCCUCUCAGACCAGCUACGGAUCGUCGCCUUGGUGAGCCGUUACCUCACCAACCAGCUAAUCCGACAUAGGCUCAUCCGAUAGCGCGAGGCCCGAACGGUCCCCCGCUUUCCCCCGGUA
rnacentral:rRNA from 1 species